rnacentral:rRNA from 1 species
UACCAGCACCCCGAGUGGUCGGGACGUUUAUUGGGCGUAAAGGGCUCGUAGGCGGUUUGUCACGUCGGGAGUGAAAUCCACUGGCUUAACUGGUGGCUUGCUUUCGAUACGGGCAGACUGGAGGUAUGCAGGGGAGAACGGAAUUCCUGGUGUAGCGGUGAAAUGCGCAGAUAUCAGGAGGAACACCGGUGGCGAAGGCGGUUCUCUGGGCAUUACCUGACGCUGAGGAGCGAAAGUGUGGGGAGCGAACAGG